ACGUAGGGUGCAGGCGUUAAUCGGAAUUACUGGGCGUAAAGCGUGCGCAGGCGGUUUGCUAAGACAGGUGUGAAAUCCCCGAGCUUAACUUGGGAAUUGCGCUUGUAACUGGCAAGCUAGAGUGUGGCAGAGGGGGGUGGAAUUCCACGUGUAGCAGUGAAAUGCGUAGAUAUGUGGAGGAACACCGAUGGCGAAGGCAGCCCCCUGGGUUAACACUGACGCUCAUGCACGAAAGCGUGGGGAGCAAACAGGAUUAGAUACCCUGGUAGUCCACGCCGUAAACGAUGAUAACUAGCUGUCAGGGCACAUGGUGUUUUGGUGGCGCAGCUAACGCAUUAAGUUAUCCGCCUGGGGAGUACGGUCGCAAGAUUAAAACUCAAAGAAU
rnacentral:rRNA from 1 species